CCUACGGGAGGCAGCAGUGGGGAAUCUUGCGCAAUGGGCGAAAGCCUGACGCAGCCAUGCCGCGUGAAUGAUGAAGGUCUUAGGAUUGUAAAAUUCUUUUCACCGGGGACGAUAAUGACGGUACCCGGAGAAGAAGCCCCGGCUAACUUCGUGCCAGCAGCCGCGGUAAUACGAAGGGGGCUAGCGUUGCUCGGAAUUACUGGGCGUAAAGGGAGCGUAGGCGGAUAGUUUAGUCAGAGGUGAAAGCCCAGGGCUCAACCUUGGAAUUGCCUUUGAUACUGGCUAUCUUGAGUGUGGGAGAGGUAUGUGGAACUCCGAGUGUAGAGGUGAAAUUCGUAGAUAUUCGGAAGAAC
rnacentral:rRNA from 1 species